rnacentral:sRNA from 1 species
UGGAGGCGAGCGGAGGAUUUGCCGCGGCGGGUCAUCCUAUGCAGAUAUGCUACAUGACAAAGACAGAAAUGUAAAAUACUACCAAGGUAUCCGGGCUGCUGUGAGCAGGGUGAAGGACAGAGGACAGAAGGCCUUGGUUCUCGACAUUGGCACUGGCACGGGACUCUUGUCAAUGAUGGCGGUCACAGCAGGCGCCGACUUCUGCUAUGCCAUCGAGGUUUUCAAGCCUAUGGCUGAUGCUGCUGUGAAGAUUGUGGAGAAAAAUGGCUUUAGUGAUAAGAUUAAGGUUAUCAACAAGCAUUCCACCGAGGUGACUGUAGGUCCAGAGGGUGACAUGCCAUGCCGUGCCAACAUCCUGGUCACAGAGUUGUUUGACACAGAGCUGAUCGGGGAGGGGGCGCUACCCUCCUAUGAGCACGCACACAGGCAUCUCGUGGAGGAAAAUUGUGAGGCCGUGCCCCACAGAGCCACCGUCUAUGCACAGCUGGUGGAGUCCAGGAGGAUGUGGUCGUGGAACAAGCUGUUUCCCAUCCGCGUGCAGACCAGCCUCGGAGAGCAGGUCAUCGUCCCUCCCGUGGACCUGGAGAGCUGCCCUGGCGCACCCUCUGUCUGUGACAUUCAGCUGAACCAGGUGUCACCAGCGGACUUUACAGUCCUCAGCGAUGUGCUGCCCAUGUUCAGCAUAGACUUCAGCAAGCAAGUCAGUAGCUCAGCAGCCUGCCAUAGCAGGCAGUUUGAACCUUGGACAUCUGGCCGAGCUCAGGUGGUUCUCUCAUGGUGGGACAUUGAAAUGGACCCUGAGGGGAAGAUCAAGUGCACCAUGGCCCCCUUCUGGGCAC